rnacentral:rRNA from 1 species
UGGGGAAUUUUGCGCAAUGGGCGAAAGCCUGACGCAGCAACGCCGCGUGAGUGAUGAAGGCUUUCGGGUCGUAAAGCUCUGUCAAGGGGAAAGAAGUGUAUUAUGGUUAACACCCAUGAUACUUGACGGUACCCCUAAAGGAAGCACCGGCUAACUCCGUGCCAGCAGCCGCGGUAAUACGGGGGGUGCAAGCGUUGUUCGGAAUUAUUGGGCGUAAAGCGCGUGUAGGCGGUUUGUUAAGUCUGAUGUGGAAGCCCCGGGCUCAACCUGGGAAGUGCAUUGGAAACUGGCGGACUUGAAUACGGGAGAGGGUAGUGGAAUUCCUGGUGUAGGAGUGAAAUCCGUAGAUAUCAGGAGGAACACCGGUGGCGAAGGCGGCUGCCUGGACCGAUAUUGACGCUGAGACGCGAAAGCGUGGGUAGCAAACA